UACGGAGGGAGCUAGCGUUGUUCGGAAUUACUGGGCGUAAAGCGCACGUAGGCGGCUUUGUAAGUUAGAGGUGAAAGCCCGGGGCUCAACCCCGGAAUUGCCUUUAAGACUGCAUCGCUUGAAUCCGGGAGAGGUGAGUGGAAUUCCGAGUGUAGAGGUGAAAUUCGUAGAUAUUCGGAAGAACACCAGUGGCAAAGGCGGCUCACUGGACCGGUAUUGACGCUGAGGUGCGAAAGCGUGGGGAGCAAACAGG
rnacentral:rRNA from 1 species